rnacentral:rRNA from 1 species
UAGGUAGCCAACAGGAUUAGAUACCCUGGUAGUCUACGCCGUAAACGAUGGUUACUAGCUGUUCGUCACGCCUUUGGCGAGAUGAGUGGUUAAGCGAAAGUGAUAAGUAACCCACCUGGGGAGUACGUUUGCAAGAAUGAAACUCAAAGGAAUUGACGGGGGCCCGCACAAGCGGUGGAGCAUGUGGUUUAAAUUCGAUGAUACGCGAGGAACCUUACCAAGGCUUAAAUGCAUAUUGACAUCCCGGGAAACCGGGACUUCUUCGGACAAUUUGCAAGGUGCUGCAUGGUUGUCGUCAGCUCGUGCCGUGAGGUGUCAGGUUAAGUCCUAUAACGAGCGCAACCCCUGUGGUUAGUUACCAGCAUGUCAUGAUGGGGACUCUAGCCAGACUGCCGGUGCAAACCGUGAGGAAGGUGGGGAUGACGUCAAAUCAUCACGGCCCUUACGCCUUGGGCUACACACGUGCUACAAUGGUAUAUACAAUGAGCAGCCAUCUGGCGACAGAGCGCUAAUCUAUAAAGUAUAUCACAGUUCGAAUCGGAGUCUGCAACUCGACUCUGUGAAGCUGGAAUCGCUAGUAAUCGCACAUCAGCCAUGGUGCGGUGAAUACGUUCCCGGGCCUUGUACACACCGCCCGUCAAGCCAUGGAAGCUGGGGGUGCCUGAAGUCCGUAGCCGAAAGGAGCGGCCUAGGGUAAAACCGGUAACUGGGGCUAAGUCGUAACAAGGUA